CAGCAGCAGACUGGUUGACCAAGAGUUAGAGGAGAAGCAGGAGAGGAUUAGAGGAACGUUUUGAAAUCAGCUACUGCUUUGGGGCAAAGAUUGAAAAUGGGAACUAAAGGAGUCUUGUUUAUUCUACUCAUACUUAAAGCAAGUACAAUGAAAACGGUGGCACAGAACCCAACAACAACCACAGCUGCUACAACAACCACA